rnacentral:rRNA from 1 species
AAGAGUUUGAUCCUGGCUCAGGAUGAACGCUGGCGGCGUGCCUAAUACAUGCAAGUCGAGCGAGAAUUUUUCAAAUGACACUUCGGUUGAUUUUGGAAAAGGACAGCGGCGGACGGGUGAGUAACGCGUAGGCAACCUGCCCCUGACAGAGGGAUAGCCAUUGGAAACGAUGAUUAAAACCUCAUAAUGCCGAAGGAACACAUGUUUCAUCGGCCAAAGAUUUAUCGGUCAGGGAUGGGCCUGCGUCUGAUUAACUAGUUGGUGAGGUAACGGCCCACCAAGGUGACGAUCAGUAGCCGACCUGAGAGGGUGAUCGGCCACAUUGGAACUGAGACACGGUCCAAACUUCUACGGAAGGCAGCAGUAGGGAAUCUUGCACAAUGGGCGAAAGCCUGAUGCAGCAACGCCGCGUGAAGGAUGAAGGCCUUCGGGUUGUAAACUUCUGUUCUUAGGGAAGAAGAAAGUGACGGUACCUAAGGAGAAAGCCCCGGCUAACUACGUGCCAGCAGCCGCGGUAAUACGUAGGGGGCAAGCGUUAUCCGGAAUUAUUGGGCGUAAAGAGUGCGUAGGUGGUUAUCUAAGCGUAAGGUUUAAGCGUGCAGCUCAACUGCAUCUCGCCUUGCGAACUGGACUACUUGAGUGCAGGAGGGGAAAGCGGAAUUCCUAGUGUAGCGGUGAAAUGCGUAGAUAUUAGGAGGAACACCAGCGGCGAAGGCGGCUUUCUGGACUGUAACUGACACUGAGGCACGAAAGCGUGGGGAGCAAACAGGAUUAGAUACCCUGGUAGUCCACGCCGUAAACGAUGAGCACUAGAUGUUGGUCCCGAAGGGAUCAGUGUCGCAGUUAACGCAAUAAGUGCUCCGCCUGGGGAGUACGCUCGCAAGAGUAAAACUCAAAGGAAUUGACGGGGACCCGCACAAGCAGCGGAGCAUGUGGUUUAAUUCGAAGCAACGCGAAGAACCUUACCAGGGCUUGACAUCCCGAUGACCGUUCCUUAACCGGAACUUCUCUACGGAGCAUCGGUGACAGGUGGUGCAUGGUUGUCGUCAGCUCGUGUCGUGAGAUGUUGGGUUAAGUCCCGCAACGAGCGCAACCCUUGUCGUCAGUUACUAACAUUCAGUUGAGGACUCUGGCGAGACUGCCGAGGUUAACUCGGAGGAAGGUGGGGAUGACGUCAAAUCAUCAUGCCCCUUAUGUUCUGGGCUACACACGUGCUACAAUGGUCGGUACAAUGAGAGGCAAACCUGUGAGGGGGAGCAAAUCACCAAAACCGAUCCCAGUUCGGAUUGUAGGCUGAAACUCGCCUACAUGAAGUUGGAGUUGCUAGUAAUCGCAGAUCAGAAUGCUGCGGUGAAUGCGUUCCCGGGUCUUGUACACACCGCCCGUCACACCAUGGAAGUUGGGGGUGCCCAAAGUUGGACAAUAAAUAGUUUACCUAAGGCAAAACCGAUGACUGGGGUGAAGUCGUAACAAGGUAGCCGUAUCGGAAGGUGCGGCUGGAUCACCUCCUUUCUA